GGAAGGGUGGCCGAGUGGUUUAAGGCAGCGGUCUUGAAAACCGCCAGGGCUCGCAAGGGCCCUCGUGGGUUCGAAUCCCACCCCUUCCGCCA
rnacentral:tRNA from 1 species